rnacentral:rRNA from 1 species
UACGUAGGGGGCAAGCGUUGUCCGGAUUUAUUGGGCGUAAAGAGCGUGUAGGCGGCCUGACAGGUCUGCUGUGAAAACUCGAGGCUCAACCUCGAGAUGUCGGCGGAAACCGUCUGGCUAGAGUCCGGAAGAGGAGAGUGGAAUUCCUGGUGUAGCGGUGAAAUGCGCAGAUAUCAGGAAGAACACCCGUGGCGAAAGCGGCUCUCUGGAACGGUACUGACGCUGAGACGCGAAAGCGUGGGGAGCGAACAGG